AUGGUAAGUUGUUCCCCUGGGGAAAGGACCUCGCUGCCCAAGGGGCUGAGCACCUCCACUGCCAGCUUCGGAGGGAGAGGCUCUGGUGGGAAAGGUGGGAGCCGGUUCAGAAAGCCACCGACCCUGGUUAAAGCCCCCCAUGUGGAGCAGCCCCCGGUGACCCCGGUCUGUGCCUUUUUCCCUCCAGGUGAGCAACAGCACGGAGCUGCACUCCACGGAGAAGUGGUUUCACGGCAAGCUGGGAGCGGGGCGCGACGGGCGGCACAUAGCCGAGAGGCUGCUGACGGAGUACUGCAUCGAGACGGGGGCCCCCGACGGCUCCUUCCUCGUCAGGGAGAGCGAGACCUUCGUCGGGGACUACACCCUCUCCUUCUGGUAAGGGCUCGUGAGCUGCUCUGCGUGGUGCUGCUGGGGUGGUCUUCACCUCGGCACGGUCCCAGUGGGCUGCCAGCAUUGGGCAAGGGGUCCCCAGUUGGGCACAGCGUCCUCCUCGGCUGCACCGGGCUGGAGAUGGGGUGGUUGGCGUCGUCUCUCCGUGGACAACCCCGGUUUUACCCCAUCCCUCCUCUUUAUCCCAUCCCUCUGCAGGCGCAACGGGAAGGUGCAGCACUGCCGGAUCCACUCGCGGCAGGACGCCGGCAGCCCCAAGUUCUUCCUGACCGACAACCUGGUGUUCGACAGCCUCUACGACCUCAUCACCCACUACCAGGAGGUGCCGCUGAGGUGCAACGAGUUCGAGAUGAGGCUGACGGAGCCGGUGCCUCAGACCAAUGCCCACGAGAGCAAAGAGUGAGCGCGUGGGCGAGGAGGGCGAGUUGUGUCCGUGGCAGCUGGGACCCCAUGGGAAGCCCUCCCGGGUCUCCCUGCAGUCCCUGUUGGGGCUCUGUGGUCCCCUCCUCACUCCCCAGUGUCACAGCAGCUCCGUCGUUCCCAAAGCUGGCUGUCCCUAUGCAAAGAGAGGACUCCCCGGGGACCCAGGCAGCCUUUCAGGGGGUGGGGGGGGAGCGGCGCUGCGUGCUGUGA
rnacentral:lncRNA from 1 species